CUCUAUAUAAUGAGCUCUAAUUCUCUAUCCAAGCAUAAUCCCAGCAAUAAUAAUAAGCACAUCAGGACAAUUUGUUUACUGUGGCAUGGCACAGAUUGGAGAAGAAGCUCCAUCCCCACUACUCGGAAGGUACAGGGUCCCUGGAAUGGGUACAAGACACACUUAUCUUGAUGGGUCUACCUGGGAAGGCGAAAUAAAACUGUGAAUUUGUAUAACCCCACAACCAAACGACUGAGGCAUUAGCUGGAUUCCCUGGGGGUGAUUGGAGGCAAUGCACAGAAACUCGACAGCCACGUCCUGGAUGUUAAAAAUUCACUUUGGCUCAGCCUGACAUCACUAAGUUCGAUCUCCAAUUGUAUUUGAAAGCGCAGUGAGCGUAAAAAUCUCCCAUCAUUAAGCUCCUCUCUCCUUUAACAAAAUAACAAGAUCUUUCAUUUGCACAAAACAACUCCUAACAAUCCUGACUCCAAUACAUAUUUAAUAGAAAUCUGAUGUAUAAUUCAAAUCCAGAAAAGAAAAAAAGAUUUCCAAUGACCAACCUCUCCCUGUCCACCCAUGUGAUCAAAAUGACUUUUUCCCCCUAAAAAUCUUGAAUCAGAUACGAAUUCUAACAAGGGGAUUUUCACUUAUGCCUUGACCCCUGUAAUUGGAUUAAAUAUAGGCUGAAACUUCCAAAAACAGCCCAAGAUUGACACCUGCCAAGUGGACUCCCUUCUGAUUGAUUGUGAUGAUUCGUGCUGGCUGCAAUAAUGCAAUAAAUUGUAUGGAUAAAA